GCAAGCUUAACCGUAUAGGGCAGGCGUAGCGAAAGCGAGUCCGAAUAGGGCGUUCAGUCGCUGGGUGUAGACCCGAAACCAAGUGAUCUAUCCAUGGCCAGGUUGAAGGUGCGGUAACACGUACUGGAGGACCGAACCCACUAACGUUGAAAAGUUAGGGGAUGAGCUGUGGAUAGGGGUGAAAGGCUAAACAAACUUGGAAAUAGCUGGUUCUCUCCGAAAACUAUUUAGGUAGUGCCUCGUGUCUCACCUUCGGGGGUAGAGCACUGUCAUGGUUGGGGGGUCUAUUGCUGAUUACCCCGCCAUAGCAAACUCCGAAUACCGAAGAGUGCAAUCACGGGAGACAGACAUCGGGUGCUAACGUCCGGUGUCAAGAGGGAAACAACCCAGACCGCCAGCUAAGGUCCCUAAAUAUUGCUAAGUGGGAAACGAAGUGGGAAGGCUAAAACAGUCAGGAUGUUGGCUUAGAAGCAGCCAUCAUUUAAAGAAAGCGUAAUAGCUCACUGAUCGAGUCGUCCUGCGCGGAAGAUGUAACGGGGCUAAGCCAGUUACCGAAGCUGCGGAUGUGCAAU
rnacentral:rRNA from 1 species